AACGCUGGCGGCGUGCCUCAGACAUGCAAGUCGAACGAUUAAACUUCUCUUCGGGGAGGAUAUAAAGUGGCGCGCGGGUGAGUAACACGUAGGUAAUCUCCCUUUGAGUGGGGAAUAACGUUCGGAAACGAACGCUAAUACCGCAUAAUGCAGCGCCAUCGCAAGAUGACAGUUGUUAAAGGAGCAAUUCGCUUAAAGAGGAGCCUGCGGCAGAUUAGCUAGUUGGUAAGGUAAUGGCUUACCAAGGCUACGAUCUGUAACCGGCCUGAGAGGGUGGUCGGUCACACUGACACUGAAUAACGGGUCAGACUCCUACGGGAGGCAGCAGUCGGGAAUUUUGGGCAAUGGGCGAAAGCCUGACCCAGCAACGCCGCGUGAAGGAUGAAGUCUUUCGGGAUGUAAACUUCGUAAGAAUAGGAAGAAUAAAUGACGGUACUAUUUGUAAGGUCC
rnacentral:rRNA from 1 species